rnacentral:lncRNA from 1 species
CAAACUUUGAAGAAAUAGUCUCACAGGUUUUGGAACAUUAAGUAUAAUUUCUCUCAUCCAAAGGCAGCAAUAAGUGUCAGAGAGUAGCAUUAUUAUACAUAAUGAGUACAGUACAGUGCAACAGGAAAAAAAAUCCUGCAUCAAUUUUUAAAGCUCGUUCUCAUCUAUUUUCUUAUUUGCUGUCUCUUCACCUGAUCUCCAAGUGGCAAGCACUUUAGGUAUUGUCCUCAGCUCUCUACUUCUCACUCCCUCUUGAUAGACACCUCUGGUUUGAAAUACUAUCUCUAGGGAUAGAAAAUCCCCAAAUCAAUGUCCCUAGCCUCUGUAGACGUCCAUAGCCAGGAUCCCACGGCCAACUCUCUACCCAGUGUCAUGGCUUGGAUAGGUUGGAUGGUCCAUAAUGAGACAAUACAUACGGAAUUAAUGACCAGCCCCCCACUCAAAGCUGUUUCCCCAUCCACUAAUGACAAUCAGAAUAUCCUCUUCCACCACACAUUGAGUUUCCCCUCGCUGGAAACCUGAAAAUCCCUCCUGUUCUACUUCCUCCUCCCUCACUCUCACACCCACUCAAUCCCUAAACCUGUCAUUAUACAUCCAACAUCUAUUCUUCUCACUCUCCCCACUGCCAUCACUCUUACAGAGGCACCAUUAGUUCCUGUCUGGACCUGAGAGCCUCCCCCCCACACUCAAUCCUGAUAGUCACUCAUGAUCAAGCAAUUCUCUGCAUAAGCUGAGAUCAUGGUAAGUCACAAAACAGUUCAUGUCCCCUGCCUUUGCUAAAAACACUCCAAUGACUUAUUAUUAACUUCAGCAUAAAGCCCCCAAUCCCUAACAAGUCCCACAACAUCUGACCCAGUUCAUAUCUCAUGUCUCCAUGCACCACCCUCCUAUUUAGUGACUCUGCCUCAGACUCCAAACCUUUCUUGGUUUUCUGGAGCCACAACUCCCUCCAGCCCCAGGACUCUUCCCCAGCCAGUCUCUUUCCUCACUUAUAUCCUUAUUCAUUUUUCAACAUAAAUGAAAAGCUGCCUGAAACCUCCUGGUUGGGUCUUCCUGUUACAAACUCCUGUACUUCUUGCCCAUGUUGUGUGAAUUUGAACAUAAUUUAGUUGAAGCUUUUGUUGUUUAUGUCCAUCUUUCUGUCAUGUGAGCUCCAUGUGGGUUAGGAGGUGGAU